UCCCUUUUUGUUUUCUUUGGUGAUGGAUGUAUUGACGCAGCGUAUUCAAGGAGAGGUGCCUUGGUGUAUGCUUUUUGCAGAUGAUGUAGUUUUGAUUGAUGAGACGCGGGGGGUGUGAAUGAUAAAUUAGAGGUGUGGAGACAAACUCUUGAGUCUAAAGGGUUCAGGUUGAGUAGGAGCAAGACAGAGUAUUUGGAAUGCAAGUUUAAUGAUGUGAGGCUGGAGAAUGAGGUGGUAGUGAAAUUGGAAUCACAGGUGGUAUGUAAGAGGGAUAGUUUCAAGUAUCUCAGGUCCAUGAUUCAGGGUAACGGUGAGAUUGACGAGGAUGUCUCGCACCGUAUUGGGGCAGGAUGGAUGAAGUGGAAGCUCGCUU
rnacentral:lncRNA from 1 species